GACGAACGCUGGCGGCGUGCCUAACACAUGCAAGUCGAACGGGGUUACCCUUCGGGGUAACUUAGUGGCGAACGGGUGAGUAACGCGUGAGGAACCUGCCUUUCAGUGGGGGACAACAGUUGGAAACGACUGCUAAUACCGCAUAAUGUUGUCGGAUGGCAUCAUCUGGCAACCAAAGCUUUAUGUGCUGAAAGAUGGCCUCGCGUCUGAUUAGAUAGUUGGUGAGGUAACGGCUCACCAAGUCGACGAUCAGUAGCCGGACUGAGAGGUUGAACGGCCACAUUGGGACUGAGAUACGGCCCAGACUCCUACGGGAGGCAGCAGUGGGGAAUAUUGGGCAAUGGGGGAAACCCUGACCCAGCAACGCCGCGUGAAGGAAGAAGGGCCUUCGGGUUGUAAACUUCUUUUAUGAGGGACGAAGGACGUGACGGUACCUCAUGAAUAAGCCACGGCUAACUACGUG
rnacentral:rRNA from 1 species